GUUUAUAUAGUUUAAAAAAAACAUUACAUUUUCAUUGUAAAAAAAAAAUUUUAUUAUUUUUAUAAAUU
rnacentral:tRNA from 1 species